UUUUUUAUUUUAGUAUCAUCUAAUACAAUACACAGUGGCUCACUCCUAAAUGUUAAAACAUAUUUGUCUCUUUCAUCUCUGUCUAGGGUUUGGUCUUUUCAUCAAUUUGAUCUCUUUCAUCAAUAUCUUCAUAAUUGAUUUUGGUGAUGAGAAGAUUUCACGGUAUAGAUCACUUGCUUAAACUCAUAGUUGAAACACCCAUCUUCUAACGAAUCUUGUUUUUAGGCGAAGGGUUUAUGGAAGCCGAUUUUGGGGUUGUGGGUGCGGAUUUCUUCACAUAUGGUGAUUUUGGAAGCUUCAAAAUCUGGCAUUAGGGUUUAAUUCUCGAAAUUCUUGCAGAAUUAGGCCAUAACUCCGGUGGACUUGUCUCUGAAUCUAAAUCAGUACUAUCUUAGUACUAAUUACUCCAUGGGAGAGAGAAAAUUGUUGGACCAUCAUCCGAGGAUGGGAGGGGUGGAAGAACUACUUCAUUCAACAUUAUUCCUAGUAGUACUAGAGCUAUUAAGGUUGUCGGAAGGUGAAACCAAUGGAAUGUUUACUUGGAUGUCUUUCCAAGUUACAACUAUCGAUGUCCCUGUGGUUGAUCUCACUGUGAGGAUGUAGAUAGUAACAUAUGAUAUCAAGUAAGAUUGUGUACUUUACUUCUUUUACCCACCCCCCCACCCCCUUCCCUGAAAAAUAUCAAUAACUUGUGUACUUUAUUAUAUAUCCUGGCAUGUGUACAUUACAAGCCUCCCUCUGUGGAUCUAAGUUUUGCAAACAAAGGUGUAACAGUGAUGGGAGAAAUAGUAGUGGUGGACUUAUGGCCAUGUGAGCUGCUCUUUUAUAUUUCUACGUUGACAUUUUAUUAGGGAGGAGUUUGAAAGAAUCUUGAAGGGAAGUCUAGGUUGCACUGAAAUUUCCUUUAUUGUAUUGACCCAGCUUGUACCACACUAGAGAGCUGACGUGUUUAUGACUGAACUGAUUAUCGCUCACUUUCUCACUCCAUGGAAGACACUUGAUUUAGUUGCUGCUAUUUUCAUUCUUUUUUUAACUGCUGCUCAAACUUAUUUCACGGUUUUUCCUAUAAAUUGAUGCUUGAGCAGGAAUUAUGCCUUCAUGUGUCUUGAUCCAUCGUACAUUUUUUAGCACUAUGUCAGUAAUGCUUUUAAAGUAAUCUCUUUUGUUUUUCAGAUUUGCAUAGAGAAGGCACAGUUCAUUUGGAUUUGUUUGUUGUCUGAAAAUAAUCAAUCAUUCCAAUCUUGACAAAUAAAGUGCAAUUGUUUCUUUUCUCUCAUUACUACAUAUUUAUUGGUUUGAUUCCUUAAAAUCAUGUAAAUUGUUCAUUUCAAUAAAGGUGACCCUUUACUAGUAUUCCCCACUACCAUAACACAACAGGUUUGUAAUUUAAAUGAAAAUGAUAUGCAAACUGGUAAACUAGUUGUCAGGUAGCUAAUAGGUAAAAGUAUCUACAAUUAAUCAUCAAACUUUUGUUUCCUGCAAGCUCAAUUUAAAUUUUUUAGUUUUCUUUAAGGUAAGACCCGUAGAAAGAUCAAGACUAGUUAUAUAUGUUUAACUGAUCUUACAUGGUUAAGUCAUUUUGUGACAAUAGCUAUUGUCAUAUAAAAUGAACGAGUGGAAUACAUAAUUGGAACCCCUAUUCACAAACUUUAAAUUUGUAGAAUAAAGCUAUAUUUUGUGAAUGUGCACCCUUCUGGUAUGUUGCUAUUUUAGCAGGUCUUCUUUCUGUUAAAUACCUGUGUUGUGCUUGUGCAUUUUUAAUAUUUAGUAAAGCUUUUGAGAAUAAUUGCAUUUGUGGUGACAUGAAAGUAUAUAGGCUGUUAUUUUCAAGCUUUAUUCAUCAUUUUUUACAUAACUAGAGGUCAUGUGACUGUACAUUGAGAUUUCUGCUAACUGUAUGAGCCAAACUCGAGCAUUGCCAUGUGUUUAUAUUGAGUGGCCUUGUGUUUCUUAUUUUCUUUGGUUGUAUGUCGGUAGAGUACCUUAUCUAAAACUUUCUCUUCUAUGCAAUUCGGAUAAAGCUGAAUGAAGGCGAAGCACUAAUUGGAGCAAUUUUCGAAGCCCCCAAUUUAUUGACAUGAUAGAAGUCCGGAAUUGUUAGAGCAACAGUGAUCACAACAAUAAUUACAUUUGAUCAAAGGGAUGUUGCAACUAGAAUGUAUUACGAGACCAUGGAAGGAAAUAUGAAGAGAAGACUUUAUGAUCUUGGAUCUCAAGGGAAACUCUAUUAUGAACUUGGUCCUACUUUCGAUCCUGAUGAACAUCACUCUCCAGCAGCACAUUAGUUAGCUUUGUCUUUCAAUUCUAUCAGUUGAAGAGCAAUUUUGAACGUUGAUGCUUUAGGAUUUAUGUAUUUUUGGAUCUACUUGUUAAUCUUCAGAUUACUAUUUAUAUGGAA